rnacentral:misc_RNA from 1 species
GUUUGAUUAUACUGGAUCGCCGAUCAGCUAACUGUGUGCUCAAAGGGCCGACAAGUUGCUUUAGAAGUCCACGAAAACAAGGAUAAUCAGCAGCACCUCCAAUAACAAGUGCUUCAACUCUCUGCAUAGCAGCUAUACGGACAGACCAAUCUUUUUCUGGUACAAGGGUAGAGCCAAUAUUCUCGAAUUCCCUUAUAAGUUCCUUUUCUGAAUACACUUUAAUUGGGUCGACAGGCUUUUCUGUAAUAUCACCAUCCGCUCCAAAGAGAGACACCUCUCUUGUUGAACGUUUUGCCUUAGGACUGCUUUUCUUAGAACUAAGGCUAGCAGAUCUCACCUCACCAGUUGAAUAAUUAUUUGAGUUUCCAUCUAUAGAGCAACUUUUGGGCUCAAUCUUCUCAAGUCUCACAUUAAUAUCUUUUAGCAACAUGGAAGGAAGAUGAUGGCGCUGAAGCUCAUCGCGGAACUGGGGUCCAACCUCUGAAUACAUCACCUCGAUACAUGAUAAGGCUGCUUCCCUAACUCCAUGAUUAGGAUCAUUCAACAUUUGCAAAAUUGAAGGAAGGAUAGCCCGUUGAAGGGGCAGCUCUGUCGAUGCAAAAAGACCAAUUGCUGAUGUAACAGUACGAGCAAAUUCUUCUCGAACUCUAAAGCUUUUGUGCAUCCAAGCAUAACACCCCGCCCUCUCAACUAUGAUUGUCGGUGAAGAAACCUCCAUUAAUGUAAGCAACAACCUCCUAGCUGCAUCUCUAACCGGCUGCUUCGCAUCUCCUAAUCGUUCAACAACAGCUGGCAAAAGCGCAUUGAAGUGUAACUUCAAAUGCUCACCGGAUAAAACAGCAGCUGAAGCAAGUGACUGUAGAGCACCUUGAGUAACCCUAAAAUUGUUAUCUUUCAGAAGAUCCAAGCAUACAUCAACAAGUGAAGUCACUUCGGAAGGCGAUAAGGUUUUUCUCGAAGCUUCUAGAACUUGAUGAAGAUGCUCUACACCCGCCAUUCUCUCCUUCGUAUCCUUUGCACGCGCCAGCUCAAGCGCCGCCUCCAUUGGAGAUGGACGGUCGGGUUAUCGGAGCUCCGAUCUAGUAAAACGGGUCAGAUCUGUGAGAAGAAGAAAAAAGUGCUUUGAUGAAAAUGGUGGAUAGAGAGAAAGUGAAGUUUG